GUAUAAGCGAGUAUACUGUGAAACUGCGAAUGGCUCAUUAAAUCAGUUAUGGUUUAUUUGAUGGUACCUUGCUACUUGGAUAACCGUAGUAAUUCUAGAGCUAAUACAUGCAGGAGUUCCCGACUUCGGAAGGGAUGUAUUUAUUAGAUAAGAAACCAAACCGGUCUCCGGUUGCGUGCUGAGUCAUACUAACUGCUCGAAUCGCACGGCUUUACGCUGGCGAUGGUUCAUUCAAAUUUCUGCCCUAUCAGCUUUCGAUGGUAGGAUAGAGGCCUACCAUGGCGUUAACGGGUAACGGAGAAUUAGGGUUCGAUUCCGGAGAGGGAGCCUGAGAAAUGGCUACCACAUCCAAGGAAGGCAGCAGGCGCGUAAAUUGCCCGAAUCCUGACACAGGGAGGUAGUGACAAGAAAUAACAAUACAGGGCUCUUCGAGUCUUGUAAUUGGAAUGAGUACAAUUUACAUCUCUUCACGAGGAUCAAUUGGAGGGCAAGUCUGGUGCCAGCAGCCGCGGUAAUUCCAGCUCCAAUAGCGUAUAUUAAAGUUGUUGCAGUUAAAACGCUCGUAGUCGGAUUUCGGGGCGGGCCCGCCGGUCUGCCGAUGGGUACGCACUGGCGGGCGCGUCCUUCCUCCCGGAGACGGCCGCUACUCUUAACUGAGCGGUGGUCGGAGACGGGAUGUUUACUUUGAAAAAAUCA
rnacentral:rRNA from 1 species